rnacentral:rRNA from 1 species
CCUACGGGUGGCAGCAGUGAGGAAUAUUGGUCAAUGGCCGUAAGGCUGAACCAGCCAAGUAGCGUGAAGGAAGACUGCCCUAUGGGUUGUAAACCUCUUUUAUGCGGGGAUAAAGGUGUCCACGUGUGGAUGUUUGUAGGUACCGCAUGAAUAAGGAUCGGCUAAUUCCGUGCCAGCAGCCGCGGUAAUACGGAGGGUCGGGGCGUAAUCCGGAUUUAUUGGGUUUAAAGGGGGCGUAGGCGGGUCUUUAAGCGUGCGGUAAAUUUUGCGGGUCAACCAUAAGAGUGCUGUGGAAACUGGAGACCUUGAGUGCAGUAAAGGUGGGCGGAAUUCGUGGUGUAGCGGGGAAAUGCUUAGAUAUCACGAAGAACUCCGAUUGCGAAGGCAGCUUGCUGCAGUGUUACUGACACUGAGGCUCGAAAGCGUGGGUAUCGAACAGGAUUAGAUACCCGAGUAGUC